rnacentral:tRNA from 1 species
GCGCUCGUAGCUCAACGGAAGAGCAACGGCCUUUUAAGCCGUGGGGUGGGGGUUCGAGUCCCUCCGGGCGCACCA